AUUGAACGCUGGCGGCAGGCCUAACACAUGCAAGUCGAGCGGAGCGGCGGACGGGUGAGUAAUGCCUAGGAAUCUGCCUGGUAGUGGUGGAUAACGUCCGUAAACGGGCGCUAAUACCGCAUCCUAUCAGAUGAGCCUAGGUCGGAUUAGCUAGUUGGUGGGGUAAAGGCCUACCAAGGCGACGACCCGUAACUGGUCUGAGAGGAUGAUCAGUGACACUGGAACUGGGACACGGUCCAGACUCCUGAGGGAGGCAGCAGUGGGGAAUAUUGGACAAUGGGCGAAAGCCUGAUGCAGCCAUGCCGCGUGUGUGAAGAAGGUCUUAGGAUUGUAAAGCACUUUAAGUUGGGAGGCGUUACCAACAGAAUAAGCACCGGCUAACUUCGUGCCAGCAGCCGCGGUAAUUC
rnacentral:rRNA from 1 species